GACGAACGUUGGCGGCGUGCUUAAUACAUGCAAGUCAACUGAAGCACCGGUAGUAAUACUGGUGUGGAGGUGGCGCACGGGUGAGUAACACGUAGGUAAUCUGCCUUCAGGUCUGACAUAACCCCGAGAAAUCGGGGCUAAUAGCAGAUGAUGCAGCGGCUUGACAUCAAGACAGUUGUUAAAGCUUCGGCGCCUGAAGAUGAGCCUGCGUCUGAUUAGCUAGUUGGCGGAGUAAUGGCCCACCAAGGCUACGAUCAGUAACUGGUCUGAGAGGAUGAUCAGUCACACUGGAACUGAGACACGGUCCAGACUCCUACGGGAGCAGCAGUAAGGAAUAUUGCUCAAUGGAGAAAUCCUGAAGCAGCAACGCCGCGUGAGGGA
rnacentral:rRNA from 1 species